rnacentral:tRNA from 1 species
AAAAAUGAAAUCAGAUAUUGAUAUUUCAAUUACAAUGAAAAUUUUGUUUUAAUACCCUUUUUU